GAUGAACGCUGGCGGCGUGCCUAAUACAUGCAAGUCGAGCGAACAGAUGAGGAGCUUGCUCCUCUGACGUUAGCGGCGGACGGGUGAGUAACACGUGGAUAACCUACCUAUAAGACUGGGAUAACUUUGGGAAACCGGAGCUAAUUACGGAUAAUAUAUUGAACCGCAUUGUUUAAUAGUGAAAGACGGUUUUGCUGUCACUUAUAGAUUGAUCCGCGCCGCCUUAGCUAGUUCGUAAGGUAACGGCUUACCAAGGCGACGAUGCUUAGACGACCUGAGAGGGUGAUCGGCCAGCCGAGAACUAGUACUAUGUCCAUGCUCCUACGGGAGGCACUAGUAGGGAACCUUCCGCAAAAGGCGAAAGCCUGACGGAGCAACGCCGCGCGAGUGAUGAAGAACUUCGGAUCGUAAUACUCUGUUAUGAGGGAAGAACAAAUGUGUAAGUAACUCUGUUCUUCUUGACGGUACCUAAUCAGAAAGCUAAGGUUAACUUUGUG
rnacentral:rRNA from 1 species